rnacentral:snRNA from 1 species
AAAAAGGGCUUCUGUCGUGAGUGGCACACGUAGGGCAACUCGACUGCUCUUCGUGCGGAAUCGACAUCAAGAGAUUUCGGAAGCAUAAUUUUUUGGUGUUUGGGCUGCUGGUGAUCGUUGGUCCUAGCGCCCUG